AAUCCACUGAGGAAACCAGGUUGUUUGAGGUGGAGAGGACAGGCUGGAGGCCGUAGGAAUCUUAUAUAAAAUGACCUAGCUGUCAUAUUAAGUCAGAACUGUAAAAUAAAGGAUGGUGGAUCCUCUGGAAGGAUGAACAUCUUCAGUUCCUCCUUUGAAAUGCACAUCACAAAUCUCCUCGGCUAAAUGUACUGCUCCUUUUCUUGCAGUGGCAGCAUCCUUUGAGAUUCUUCAGUGAGAAGGAGCUUUUCAACACUGAAUGCAUCAAUGAGAUGUGAACACAACUCACUAACAUGGCUGAAUUUAGUUCC